GACAGAGGCCACGAGCGUUAGGCGGAAUCACUGGGCUUAAAGCGUGUGUAGGCGGAGGCGUAAGUGUCUUGUGAAAUCCCACGGCUCAACCGUGGAACUGCUGGGCAUACUGCGUCUCUUGAGCCGGCCAGGGGUCACCGGAACAAAUGGUGGAGCGGUGAAAUGCGUAGAUAUCAUUUGGAACGCCAAUGGUGAAAACAGGUAGCUGGGAGUGUGCUGACGCUGAGACACGAAAGCCAGGGGAGCGAACGGG
rnacentral:rRNA from 1 species